rnacentral:rRNA from 1 species
UAGAGUUUGAUCCUGGCUCAGGGUGAACGCUGGCGAUGUGCCUAAGACAUGCAAGUCGAACGGGGCUUGUGGUCUACACGAGGUAAUCGAAAGCAAAACUUUUAUGUCGAUUUUCUUGCGUAGAUCGCAAAUUCAGUGGCGAACGGGUGAGUAAUGAGUACAAACAUACCUCUUUGCGGAGCAUAGCCCAUCGAAAGGUGGGGUAAUUCUCCAUAGUAUCCUUCGGGAUUAAAGAUGCAAAUCACAAAGAGAGUGGUGUACUUGCUACCAGCUAGUUGGUAAGGUAACGGCUUACCAAGGCUAUGACGGCUACCGGCUCUUAGCGGAGAGUCCGGCACAAUGGGACUGAGACACGGCCCAUACACCUACGGGUGGCAGCAGUUAGGAAUUUUGCGCAAUGGACGAAAGUCUGACGCAGCGACAUCGCGUGUGGGAUGAAGGCCUUCGGGUCGUAAACCACUUUUAUCUCUCCAUGAAGGAGAGUUGAAUAAGGAACUACUAACUACGUGCCAGCAGUCGCGGUAAUACGUAGGUUCCGAGCGUUACCCGGUUUUAUUGGGCGUAAAGCGUCUGUAGGCGGUCAAAUAAGUCUUAUUUCAAAGAUCCCGGCUUAACCGGGGAAAGGGGUAGGAUACUGUUUGGCUAGAGUGAUAUCGGAGUUACUGGAAUUUGUAGUGUAGGGGUAAAAUCCGUGGAUACUACAAAGAACACCAAGCGCGAAGGCGGGUAACUAGGUAUAUACUGACGCUGAGAGACGAAAGCUAGGGUAGCCAAUCAGAUUAGAGACCUGAGUAGUCCUAGCCCGUAACAUUGUCUGUUAAUUUUCCCGAUUUAUCGGGGGAGAUGCAAGCUAACGCGUUAAACAGACCCCCCUGGGGAGUAUAGCCGCAAGGCCGAAACUCAAACGAAUUGGCGAGGAGGCGCACAACCAGUGGAGCAUGUGGUUCAAUUCGAUACGAAGCGAUGAACCUUACCUGGGUUUGACAUGUACCUGCAGGGUCCCAGAAACGGGACCGGCCUUCGAGGGUGGUACACAGCUGUUGCAUGGCUGUCGUCAGCUCGUGACGUGAGUUGUUCUCUUAAGUGAGGUAACGAGCGCAACCCCCAUCGUAUGUUACUGUGUCAUACGAGACUGCCCAGCAUUAUUUUGUGGGGAGGAAGGAGGGGACGACGUCAAGUCAUCAUGAUGCUUAUAUCCAGGGCUACACACAUCCUACAAGGGGUUGUACAGAGGGGUUGCAAGACCGCAGGGGGGAGCUAAUCCCUAAAACAAUCCUCAGUGGGGAUGGCGGGCGGAAACUGGCCGGCAGGAACCGGGAAUGGGUGGUAAUGGCAUAUCAGCGGAUGGCAGGGGAAUAGGUUCUGGCCUCUGGCACACACUGCCGGUCAAAUCAGCAAAGUGGAGGGUACCGGAAGCUUUACAUUUGUGGAGUUAAGGUAAAUUCAGGGAUGAGGGUAAGUGGUACAGGGUACCAGAGGGGAUGGCGCGUAUAA